rnacentral:rRNA from 1 species
GACGAACGCUGGCGGCGUGCCUAAUACAUGCAAGUAGAACGCAGUUGCGCACGGGUGAGUAACGCGUAGGGAACUGCCUCAUAGCGGGGGGUAACUAUUGGAAACGAUAGGUAAUACCGCCUACUGUGGGAUGGACCGGCGUUGUAUUAGGUAGUUGGGGAGGUAAACGCUCACCAAGGCGCCGAUACAUAGCCGACCUGAGAGGGUUGUCGGGCCAACCUGGAAUGGGGACCGGCCCAAGAUCCCAACGGAGGCAGCAGGAGGGAAUCUUCGGCAAUGGACGGAAAUCUUAACGCAGAACGCCGGGGGAUGUAAGGAGGGUUUCGGAGCGGUAAGCUCUGUUGUUCGAGAAGCGGUAACUAACCAGAAAGGGACGGCUAACUACGUGCCAGCAGCCGCGGUAAUAC